rnacentral:rRNA from 1 species
GACGCUUAUGCGUUGUUGGGUAGGGGAGCGUUCUGUAAGCCUGCGAAGGUGUGCUGUGAGGCAUGCUGGAGGUAUCAGAAGUGCGAAUGCUGACAUAAGUAACGAUAAAGCGGGUGAAAAGCCCGCUCGCCGGAAGACCAAGGGUUCCUGUCCAACGUUAAUCGGGGCAGGGUGAGUCGACCCCUAAGGCGAGGCCGAAAGGCGUAGUCGAUGGGAAACAGGUUAAUAUUCCUGUACUUGGUGUUACUGCGAAGGGGGGACGGAGAAGGCUAUGUUGGCCGGGCGACGGUUGUCCCGGUUUAAGCGUGUAGGCUGGUUUUCCAGGCAAAUCCGGAAAAUCAAGGCUGAGGCGUGAUGACGAGGCACUACGGUGCUGAAGCAACAAAUGCCCUGCUUCCAGGAAAAGCCUCUAAGCAUCAGGUAACAUCAAAUCGUACCCCAAACCGACACAGGUGGUCAGGUAGAGAAUACCAAGGCGCUUGAGAGAACUCGGGUGAAGGAACUAGGCAAAAUGGUGCCGUAACUUCGGGAGAA